GAUGAACGCUAGCGGGAGGCCUAACACAUGCAAGUCGAGCGGGUAUUAUUCUUUCGGGGAUAAGAGAGCGGCGAACGGGUGCGUAACACGUGUGCAACCUGCCCUUAUCAGGGGGAUAGCCCGGAGAAAUUCGGAUUAAUACCCUAUAAUAUAUUAGAUGGCAUCAUUUAAUAUUGAAAGCCACGGUGGAUAAGGAUGGGCACGCGCAAGAUUAGCUAGUUGGUGAGGUAACGGCUCACCAAGGCGACGAUCUUUAGGGGGCCUGAGGGGUGAUCCUCCACACUGGGACUGAGAUACGGCCCAG
rnacentral:rRNA from 1 species